ensembl:lncRNA
CACUCAGUGGCUUGACAUGGGAAUCUUUCACUGUCAGAGUUAAGAUGACACAUCAGCAUUUACAGCACACGAAACACUUGAGAAUUUUAUUCUAAAGUGUCAUUUAUAGAGGAUUUGGAUUUGGAUUUACCAAACUAGCAGGAUGAACCUCUCCGAAGAAUGUGAGGAAGACAUUUCUGCUUCCUUAAAACAUUUGGAUCCAACCCUACAGGAGAGAUUAGACUCUCCAGAACCCAGCUGUGUGUCCAUGAAGAGUGAUGUAUCUAUGAAUAUUUCACUACACUUCAGUGAUGGAGGGUCUACAUCUGGACACAGUCCAUUCCAGCAGGAGAGAUCAGACUCUCCAGAACCCAGCUGUGUGCCCAUGAAGAGUGAUGCAUCAAUGGUUCCACUAAUGUUCAAUGACGGAGACUCUAAAUAUGGACACAGCACUGCCUUAAUGCUCUUGGGCAUGGAAUUCACCAGAGCUUCACAGGGUGCUACUGGAAUCCUCUUCCACUCUUCCAUGAUGACAUCCUGGAGCUGGUGGAUGUUAGACACCUUGUGCUCUUCCUACUUCUGCUUGAGGAUGCCCCACAGGAGUUGAACUGCAGUAGCAUUCCUCCAAGGUGCUGUCUAUUGGAAUGACAAAGUUUUAGCAUAAACUGCUGCAAACUCAUUCAUAAGACUGACAAUGUUUGAGUUGAAGCUAUCAAAUAAAGCAUCAACAGAAUCUGAUUGUUUGCAUGGUGCAUUUUAUAAAUAAAAGUGUAGCUGUGUUGUAAUUUAUAAACCUUUUCUUAAAGCAAAUGUGUCUGGUCUUAGGAUUUAGUGACAUCCUCAUUUCAAAGAAAACACAGUAAUGGUCUAACAAAUUGACAUCCAAUCCAACAGUGGCUGAUAUGUUAUUACCCUUUGAGAUAACCACACCCAGUGUGACCAUGAUAGUGAUGCUGAGAGAGUCCAAAAGAGUGCAAUAUAAAGAGUUCUUUGGCAUAAAUAUGAUUGGGAUUUUCAAUAUGUAUGUUAAAAUCACCAGCAAUAACAAAAUGUUUGCACUGAAAAGAAUCAUAAAACAGAGCAGUUAUGCCUCCACCUUUCUUGAUUGCACAAGACAUUUAUAAAGUUUGGUUGAGCCUUUUUAAAUAAUAUGGUUUCAGCACUACUUUUAACUAACCUUGUUUCUUUUACAAGCAGAAAAUCAAGCCCAUUGGCUAUAAUACUAUAAUGAAUCAAAUAAGGCUUGUUUGUGGGAGAUCUUAUAUUUAGAAGAGCUAAUUUAGUAACCUGUGCACUUUGCUCCUGAUGGUGUGACUCACAUUUUACUAAAAAUUGGAUUUAUUCACAUUGAAUGUACCUUUUGUUCUUUUAAUUUCUGAUAAAUCCUGGAAUGGGAGAGAUUUUCGGCACACAGGGUCUGAUCUCAUUUUGAAAAGUUUGUUUUGUAAAAACAAACUAAUUUGUUUUUUAUUAGCAUAAAGAAGAUCAUGAAAAUCAAAAUGCUCCUCAUAAUGCUUUACUUUUGCCAUCUCACCGAUCUGAUGCUACAUCUAAUGAAACUGAACCUGAACCUCAGAAGGACUUGAAAUUAAAUUUGAAAAAGAAGCUUAAGUUUUUAAAUGAAGUGAUAAACCAGGGAAACCCAACACUUCUCAGGGAAAUCUACACAGAUCUCCACAUCACAGAGGGAGCAGAGGUCAGUAAUGAACAUGAAUUCAGACAGAUAGAGGCAGCAUCCAGGAGAACAGCAAGAGAGGAGACACCAAUCAAAUGCACAGACAUAUAUAAGCCCUUACCAGAACAAGACAAACCCAUCAGAACUGUGCUGACAAAGGGAGUUGCUGGCAUUGGAAAAACAGUCUCUGUGCAGAAGUUCAUUCUGGACUGGGCUGAAGACAAAGCAAACCAGGAUGUCCAGUUCAUAUUUCCACUUC